CGGUCGUGGCGUCAAGGGCAGCCUGCCGACGUGCCAUGUCGGAGGUGUCGGUUCAAAUCCGACCGGCCUGACCA
rnacentral:tRNA from 1 species